GUAUUUUCUUUCUGAGUCAUCCUUUUGAUAUUUUACUUGGACCAAAACUCAGAAUCACUUGGUUUUCUCCAAGCACUUAUUUGGGCUAUUUCCAUCAUUGUUCUUGGAAAUAAUUUUUCUUUUUGACGUACUGUACACUCAAUAUGCGACUUGGUCACCACCAUCAGAGGCCAUAGCAUUGGCUCCGUCAUGGACUGUCAGGAGUCACUCUGACAUAUAAUGUUUCCACUUAGGUUGAUCAGCUGCUCAGUUUUGCAAUGUUUAGGACUGUAUGCAUGUGCAUGUGUGUUUCAUGUCUUCUGGGGGAAAGGCUGAGUGUAUUUUUUAGAGGGUUUGGAGAAUUUCCAUGGCUUGUUUGCUGAUAAAGCAAAUGUCAGAAUAUGCUUUGGGAAGACAUGUGUGGGUGUGUUUUUCUUUAUGGGAGCACGUGUUCUAAGUAUAGGAGACAACACAGGGAGAUGCUGUGCCUCCUGUGAUGUGGCCAGAGAUACCUAUUAGGAGAAUAUGGAAAAUCACCAAAACUGGUGAAGUUUCACCUAAUUUUCUUUGUUUCAGUGAUGUUAGAGGUUAGACUGUGUCAAGGUCCAGGGAUUUGGGGCACCUGUUCAGAGCAGAAGGGAGGAGAACAGAGCCAGGUCUGCAUCUGACGGAUGCUGAAUCACCAGCCUCCCUGUCUUUCUGUGAAUGUGGUGGUUCCACAGCCACCAGCAGCUGGUCUUUGCUCCUGCACAUGGCCCAUUCCAGCCCAGGUUCUGUCCACAUACACUGUGUCUUAACUCACCACGUUCUAUUUUAUCUCUGCCUUUUCAUGCCUUGGCUUGUCUGAAAACUCCACCUUUCUUACUUUUGAUGACAUCUUCCUUGACCUUUCCUUCUCCUCCAAGGCCCACUUUUCUAAGGUCUGUGUGAUCAACAUGGACCUUAAGAAGCAGAGAAGAUGGAAAUAGAGUAAAUACUUUGAUAUGCAGAAGCAAUUAGAGUUUCUUGGAAGAUGUCACAUCCUUUAAUGCAUAUUCUGCUUAAUAUACAAUGGGAAAAUCAGAGCCUAUUGAGCAAUGAUGUUGCUUCUGGUUUAUUGCAGUUGAUUAAUAAAUGUUCCAGCUGGAGGCAAUGACCACAUGAACCUGAAGUUCCUCCCAAUGCUGAAAUUCUAUGACUUGUAGAAUGUCACAGCUGCAGUGUUUAAAAAUAUGUGUUCUGUAUAACCAUGGGUACUAUAUUUGCCUUGUAAUUGUAGCUAUAGGCUAUGCUUGUACAUCCUAUCUAGUCCUUGUCCUUUCUAUAAGGAAGAAAGUCAACCCUCAUUCUAAACUCUGUCACUUGUCACUGCUGAACCCAGAGACUAAUCACUCUAGCAUUCCCAAACCUUCUGAGAAGCCUGGGUCUUAUUUUCCAAUUCUUCCCUUAGUUUAGGGAGGAGGUGGCUAUACAUCCAUUCCAGUGUUGUGACUUCAAAAUACCACAACACAAGCUGAGAAUGGCUUUGGAUAGUAUGCUAGUCACUACCCUGGUCUUUUCUUGGCUCAGUGAAGGUUCAGUCAGAACUUUCCAGUUUUAAACUAGAAUGGGUGGUGUGCAUGUAAGUGUCAGAAUGCCCUUCAAUUCUUGGAGGAUGUCAUUCCUAGGAUGCUCCACCAGAAUGUAAGUUGCUGCCAGCUGUCUAUCAGGAGUAUGGAUCUUGGCUUGAUUAGCAUCUGAGUAGGUGCAGUUGUUAACUAUAUGGAUUAGCUUGGUUAGACCACAGUUCUCAGAUAGUUAGAUACCAGUGUGAAUAUUGUCACAAAGAUGUUUUUCAGAUGAGAUUAACAUUUAAAUCACUGGAUAUUGAAUAUAUUAUAGGCAGAAGUUUCCCUGUCCUGACCACCUGCUCCCAAAUAACCAACAUGGAGACUUAAGAUUACUUAUAAAUGCUCAGCCGAUAGCUCAGGCUUGUUACUAACUACCUCUUACAAUAUAAUCCAUUUCUAUUAAUCUAUGUGUUGCCCCAAGGCUCAUGACUUUUACCUCUAUUCCAUUUUGUGUGUCCAACUCUUUCUCUGUUUGGCUAGUGACACCUCUCUCUUCCCUUCUCCUUCCCAGAAUUCUCAAUUUGGCUUUCCCAUCUAACUUUAUCCUGUUCAGCUAUUUGGCCAAUCAGCUUCUUUAUUAAACCAAUCACAGUGACAAAUCUUCACUGUGUGCAGAAGGAUUAUUCCACAGCAGUAUGUCAGAUCACUCUCCAUAUGUGGAGGGUCCUCAUCUAAACAGAUGAAAGCCCAUGGAGGAAACAGACUGAUGUUUCCCAAGGGUGAGCAAAUUUUGUCUCCAGAUAGCCUUUGACACAAAGUUACAACAGUAACUUUCCUCGGAUCUCCGGAUCUAUCAGUGUCUACAGCCAGGCAAGCCAAUCCUCAAAAUCAAUCAAAUGCUCCUCCUUCUCCCCUUCCUCUCUCUCUCUCCUCUCCCCCUUCCCCCCUACCUUCACUUUUUGGUUUAUGGUUUUGUUUCUCUGAAGAGUCAUGACUAUUAACAUAAAGGGUAAGGAACAGUUUAGAAAGAGCAGCGGACACCCUUCACUGCCUUGUUUACCUUAUCCCUGCUGCUAGAUCUUUGCUGCAUCUCAGUACAAUCUAGGACUGGAUCUACCCUUGGGUGGGUCACUGUUUUGGUGACUGAGAUACUCAAACCAUUUUUGCUUGUGCUCAACUCAGGGGUUUCUUGCACGGAGUUUUUGAGUGCUAAAGUUAGGAAACCAAAAUAAGUUAUUCAAUCUCCCUCAUUUUAAUCACUUGAACUUCUGGUAUCUAAUAUUCUCAGCCAUCUAGUACUUCUGAAAGCAUUAAAAAGAGCACCUCUGGUAGAUUAUUGGGAAGCCACUAUGUCUCCAGUCCAUGGAUCUUGGUUAUUAAUGCAGUAAGCAUGUGGUCACCCUUGUGAGCAUGCCAUUUUAAGGCCCUAGUACUGCAUCCAAGAACCACUCAGAGCUUUACAUAAACAUAUUAUCCUAAUGUUCCCAAAGCACUUUAAUUAUGAGGGUGAUUCCUGCCAGGAAGUACAUUAUACUCUGGCUGUGGAGUAGUCUUAGGAUUCUAAGCACUGGCUGCUACAGGACUCAGAAGACUGCUUGGGAGCCCUGCACUCAGAGGACCAGUCCUGAAAUCAGCCUUGUCAAAUGCUGAUGCUCAGCAACUUCCUAUUUUCUAGCACCUUCAUCUUUGUCUAUUCCCACCCCCAAGGGAUGCUUGGAUGUUCACUCAUAAAUAGCUAUGAAUGGAAGGGAAUGGCUUCCUGUGAUCAUAGGAACAAAAGCACAUGCACAUGUGUAUUCAUGUGCACAUGCCUUCUCCCAGCCCCAUGUUCAUGGAGUAGAUACAGUCUCUGGCUUUCUCUUUUCUCCUUGGCUUGUGGUUAGCUCCCAAGAAGAAUGCUGAUGCUCAGAUCCUUUAAUGGAAUCAAGAUAAAGUCAAGCUUCACCUUUUGCCACACUUUUUGGACUCUCACCUGGCCAGUGUAAGGUGACAAUGGGGAGGGUUGGGUAUGACAGACAGCAUGAGCAGGUCCUGGGGCCCUCAAAGACAUAGUUUCAUGUGGCCAGUGGGUUUGGAGGUGAGAAGUGUCACAUUGGGGGUGACUGUGUUGUUGUCACGACCUACAUUUUAGUGCUCAGGAGAGCCACGCUCAUGCACCCGUUCCACAUCUGUAGCUGCUGACUCCCUCACAGAGACCCAGAUUUCUGCAAGAGAAAGCCACAUCUCCUGGACUCUGCAGCAGUGGCCUUGCUUAAGCUGCAGAUACUCCCGUCUUGAGUUCAUCCUCUGUGAACUUAGAUGGUGUGACACCUUGUGGAAGGUGAAAGUCUUCCUGUCUCUGGAUGCACAUCCUGAGGAUGGUACCUUUGCUGUGCUUUCCACCACGAGAAUCCUUCUUCCUUCUGUUUGACUGGACUUCCGGAGCUUGGCCUGGUGCUUGGCUGCGGAUCUCUGCAUCUGCUUCCAUCAGUUACUGGAUGAAGACUAGUUUCUUUGGAGCUAUGGGUUGUAGUCUGAUUACCCCUUGAUUUACAUCUAGUAUCCACUUAUGAUUUCUUCAAAUUGACGGUGUCACAACCAAGAAGCUGGCAUUGACAAGAGCCAUCAGUGUUACCUGGAUUUCUCCUUCUGGCUGCAUUCAUUUGUUGUGUGCAGUUCUAUAUGAUUUUAUCACAUGUGUGGGAAACAGCAUCCAUCAUCAUAGCCAACAUCUGGAACUCUCCCAUCACCACAAGAUUCUCUGCUUCCCCUUUAAAUAACGACAUCUGCUUCCUCUCAAUCCUACUCCAACCCUCAGCAAUCAACUAAUCUUGUCUCCACGUCUAUGAGUUCAUCAUUUCAAGAGUGUUAUGGAAUCAGAUGAUAUGUGAUAUUUUUUGACUGACUUUAUACUCACCGCAGUUCUCUUGUUACCUACCCAACUUGUAUAUAUAAAUAGUUCAUUACUUUCACUCAUUGAAGGCUGUUCAAUGUUCCCCAUGAUGGGUUGUAUUACUCCUCUGGGUUUGGUAUAAUUAAAUACUGUUAACUGGAUGGCUUAGAAACAACAGAGAUAUAUUUCACAGUUCUAGAAGCUGAGAAGUCCUCAAGGCAUCCACAGGUUUGGCGUCUGGUGAGGGAUGGCUUUCUGGUUCAUAUAUGGCCAUUUUCUUACUGUGUCUUCAUAUGGUAGAAAACAUGAAGGACCUCCCUCGGGUCUUUUCAUAAUGGUGAAGAUUCUGUUUAUGAAUGUUAUGCCCUUGUGAUCUAAUUAUACCCUAAUGACUCUACUUCCUAACACUAUCACCAUGGAGAUUAGGAUUUCAAAAUAUGAAUAUUUACAGGGCAUAAAAAUUCAGACAAUGCCAUGGGAUAUUACAAAUAAAGCUGCUAUGCACAUUUGUAUACAUA